ensembl:lncRNA
UCCUCCUAUAGACUAGUUUCCUUAAAUAUGUGGACCAAGCUCAGAUUGGUUUCAGUUUGGAAAAUUUCUUUUCAGAAAGAGUGGGAAGGCAUCGGAACAGCUGCUUAGGGAGCCCAGCUGAGAGAUCCAUUGUCAAAGUUUUUGGAAAUCUUGGUCACAAGAUGGGUGGAAGUGUUGGUCAUCAGAUUCUGGAAGCUUGUGAUGAGGGAGGCAAGUGAAAAUUACAGCUUCCAGUAUGCAAUUGCCAAAUGCUCAGUCAGAAAACAGCUGCCAAUGUUUCUACAAGUACUUAAAACCAAAGAAGCUGUAUUUGGUGAAUACCAAAUGGGUAUUCUAAGGGUGUUCCUUGGGUGAUGGUAGGCUUUUAUGAAUUCCAUCUUAGAAAACUGGAAGAUUAAAUAUUGAGUUUUCCUCUUUGUUUAGGCUCUCUUUCCUCUGUGUUAUAUCUUGUUGAUAACAGAUGUUAAACCAAAGAACUCUUGAUUGAAUUUCCUCAAUACAAAAUGAUGUGGCUUCACACUGUAGUUGUCUUUAAAGGUUUGCCUGUGAGAGAUACAUUUCACACAGGUUUGUUAAUGUGUUUUCUUGUGCAAGAACAAAUUUGAAAUCUUGAUGCUGUUCAUUGCUCUGAGUUAGAGUCAACCAUUUCUUCUAGUCAUGCUAGCGUUCUGCAAUGAGAAGAUGUGAAGAACAGGGAAAGGAGAAGGGAAUUUGUGGAAGGACAUGCAUGAGUCCUAAAACUGAUUGCAUAAAAAGUCUGCUAUUGAGUUUAGCUGGUUAAAAACACUGUGUACAGACAAUAAUUUGGGAUUACUUGGCUUUGGAGCUGCGAUAGUUCCGUGAUAGUUCCUCUGCUCAGCGCAGAGAAACUGUGAGGGAAAGAGUGAAAAUUAAUGUUUUGCCAUAGAAUGAUAACUGGAUCCUAGAAUCAAUUGAGUUGGAAGCGAUCUUUAAAGCUCAUCUAGUCCAACUCCCCUGCAAUGAACAUGGACACCUACAGAUAGAUCAGGUUGCACAUACCUGACCUUGAACGUCCCCAUGGAUGAGGUAUCUACCACCUCUCUGGGCAACCUGUUGUAGUGCUUCACUAUCAUACUUUUCCUUAUAUCGAGACUAAGUAUCCCUACUUUUAAUUUGAAACAAUUUCCCUUUUUCCUAUCACAACAGACCCCACUGAAGAGUCUAUCCCCCCCCUUUUUUUAUAGCUCCCCUUUAGGUACUAAAUGAUCCCAUCACACGUGAUCAUCUUCAACAGUACAGACAGGAAAAGGUUCAGAGAAAGCUGAUAGAAAUAUUAUGGUUGGACUUGAUAUCUCCAAGGUCUUUCCAAGCCUAAAUGAUUCUGUGAUAUUUGUUAGUUAUGUUUCAGGGCUGUCAUUACAUUUUUGGUUGCAAUACAGUGAUUUAGGAAGUACUGAUAAAGGCUAGCUUUGGAGCAGUGAGGUUAGUGUUUUUGGCUGUUGGAAAAUGUGAGAGCUGCAAAAGUUGACCACUACUUGCUGUUAGCAGUGCAUCCCCAAGUUAGCCUGAGUCUCAGUUCAACCCGAACACAUGCUUAGUUUCAACACUGCCAUCCAGUUCCCCUUAAGUCAAUAAAGCAUAAGCAUGCACUCAUGUUUAUGCAGAAACUUAAUGAAGCAUGCAGCACUGCUACGUAGAGACUACUGAGUGGAGGUCUACCGUGUGAGAAGGAAAAUGGAGAGAUCCAGAUAUACUGCAGAAAGGAUCUUAACUGUAUGACAGGAGAAAAAUGUAACUGAUGUAAUUAUUUUCUUGUACUUGGCUCUGAUAUAAAUUUAUUCAGUUUCUGGUAUAAGGAAUAUGACAACUGUUUUAGAAAUAUGUUUUACAUUACAGGAUGCAUUUUCAUUUGGUCAAAAAACUGGCCAUAAAUCAGGUUGAAACAUAUCUCCAGUACUGAAAGCCUCGGCAAGGGUUUACAACUAAUGUUAAUGCAGAGUCUUCAAGAGGAUAGAAGAAUGGUGAAUCUGUAUCACUAAAUUAAUGGGAUUGCUGCUUUAAUGGUACAGUUUAAGAAAAGAAAAUCCUUAAAUAUUUGAAAAUGAAAAAUUGAUUUAUUAUUUUUAUUUUAUUUUAUUUUAUUUUAUUUUACUUUAUUUUUUCCUUGUGAGGCUCUGAAAAUUCUGGCUUUCCAAUCCAUUCUUUUAGCUAUUAUUAUGUGAUGAGAAUUUUUUAUUAAAUUCUAAGCUUCCAUAUCACCUAAGAUUUGUACUAACACUAUCUCCAAUCCAGAUAAAGCUUUCUGGAUUCUAAAUCUACUUGGAAAACUCUGAUAGAGCUCAACAAAAAAGGUAAGAUAUGGUGGCUUGAGAGCAGGAAACAGCAGCAAACAGCAAUACAUGUAAGAGAACCAUUUUCUUUCUUUCCUGUUUACUCCAGCUGAAGAACUGGCUACAGCCAAACAGAAAAAUGGAGCAUUAGGACUUAAAUGAGUAUAUUAUCUUAAGCGAUCACUGUGAGCACCUCAGUCAAAUUUACAGUGGAAACUUAACCUGACUUGUGCUACCUACCAAAAGAAAUUCCUCUUGCACUCUGGCGUAAAAAUUGAGGAGGGCAUCUCCUCCACUUAAUGGAAGUAAUAAUUGAAUGUAUGGUUUUAAUCAUGAUAAUCACAGUCUAGACUUGCUGAUAAAUCUAGAUGCUGAAAAUGAUUUAAUACUCGACAGACUGAAAUGAUACAAGUUUAAAUAUAGAAUUCUCCUCUCAGCAUGGCUUCUGUCUUUUUGAAAACACAGAGCUCUGUCCCUGUUGAUCCAGGUUCACUCACUGGUAGGUAAGUGAAUGUGCAGAAUUCCCUCUUCAUCAAACGUAUUUGGUAGUUACAUAUUAAUACCUAUACACAAAAUACUGUCUUUCUGAUCUUUGAUAGAAAGUACUCUUUUUAUGUACAAGGGCUGUUCCAAAAGUAAUGGCUCCUAUUGUAUUAUAUCAGUCCAUGAUGUUGUCAGAUGUGGAUCUUGGUGGUACAGCAGCAGAGGUUGAACCUUCCCACCAAUAUUCCAUUACUCUUGUUGCCAUGUGACAGAUGGCAGCAGCAGAGCUGUCUGACCAAAUGGCAUCUGACAUGGAAGCGCAUAUGAAGCAAAGGUGUCACUGAAUUCCUCCGUGCAGAAAAUAUGGCACCCAUUGACACUCAUCAACGCUUGCUGAAUGUUUAUGGAGACCAAACAGUGGAUGAGAGCACAAUGAGAUGCUUCAGCAGCAACGAGGGCCUGGAAAGAGGAGACAGAAGUCUUUUUGCUUCUCUGACAGCGUAAUAAAGGUGACUGUGUCCUUCCCUCCAGUUCAACGGAGAUGCAACCAGGAUCAAUCUUUUUAAUGCAGCCACAACGAAGGAAAAAUUGAAAAGGAUGCUCUCAACAUGAUUUGUGAGAAGAGCUACAAAACUGUCUGGAAAAUUUCUCCUCGACAGAAAGACGGAAGAAGCUCGGUUUCUUUAGCUUAUUACAGUGGAGUCUGAGCACGGAUUAGAUCAUAGAGCUCUGUGGGAACAAGCUAAAAAUAAACGACAGUAUUAUCAUGAAGACUGAUUUACAAACAUUUACCGAACUUGCUGUACCAAGCACUGGCCAGUGAAAUAUGGAAAAUGCCUGAGAAGAAUCAGCAAGCUUCACUCUGCUGUGGUGGGAAAGCUUUAGCACAAGUUUGCUUAAAGCCACUUCACUAAGCACAGAGUGACGCAAAUGUGGGGAUCACGGCAAGGAGACACAGCAUCUGUUCUGUCAGUGAGCUCAUGGGGUGCCCUCCCAUGGCUGGUGCACCCUUGAUGAUGAUGCUGGGGUGAGAGAAAGGGAUGCAGCACAGGCAGACAUGUUCUCCUUUUCUUCCUCCACGUGUGGGAGCACAUCUGAGUUCACUGUGGAUGUGGAACAGCCUAAAAUAGAGUGUAAAACCUGAACACAAUAAUACCACUGGGACACCACGUGUAAAUGCAAGGAGAAGCAAAUGAUUAGCCUAGCAAAAAGAGGUGUUUGGGAAGAGACCCCCAGGAGGGGAACUACCUGUUAAUAAUGAGUCUUGAUGAACCACAUCUAUAUGCAAGUGAUGCUGCAAAAAAUUCAGACACCAGGCAUUUGUUUUCUCUCUUUCCUCAGCCAGAACAUCAUUGUGUUUUUUUUCCUUAGCUCUGCAACUCAAGUUAUUAAUUAACAAGUAUUAUCAAGGGAGAUUUUGCUGUAGGUUGUCAAUUUACAAAUAACUUUUCUAAUUUAAAACCUGAUCUGGAGACCUAUUGCUGCCAAAAUACAGCACAUUAAAUUCCAGUUAAGUACUUAAUUAAUAUAGAUAAGUGUAAACUACAAAUUGCCCUUAUGAUGCAGGUAUGGAACCUCCCUAGACAAUGCAAACAUCAAGGUUCAAGCAGACAGAACAGGGAUAUAGGAUUAGCUACAUCUGCAUUUCUAGUUUGGAUAGUUCAUUAACAAAGGGUUGGCAUAAUAUUUACUGUUCCUUGUUCUCAGUGUUUAUUGCUAGCAUCAUAUUCAUUGAACAGUACACUACUAUUAGGCUUGUAGUUGCAGUUGGAUGCUUCCCAUUGCUUUCAUUUCUUCCACGGCACGCCAAGAUUUUAACAGCUUCAAGGUCUAACCAUGCAGUUUCUGCUCUGCCUGACAAAAUUCCCAUUGGAUUACAUGUUGUGAGAUUAUUUCAGUAUUUGGAUGCACAGUAAAAAAAAAAAAAUAGGCGGGGAGGGUGGAGGAGAUGGGAGUAUUCCUUGCCUUUCUCUGUAUAAUCUUCCCUGCCAGGAAUGGAGAGCAAAGAAUCUGUUAUGGCCUAACACACUUCCCUACUGUAUCAAUUCCAGGUGAAACAAGCCCCCUUGAGAGCUCUGCAAGGUGAGAGACAAGUUGUGCUCACCUCAAUGCAGCCAUUUUUCUUCCCUUGUCUCUCUGGAGAUGAAUGAGCCCAUCCUUCCCCCCAGCCAGUGCCAGCUCACAUUUCCUUUAACUUCAUUGGAGAGCUGUCUAGCAUCAUUCAGUGCCUGGAUAAUUAACUGAAAAGCCCCAUUGUUUUCUUGCUUCAAAGUGCAGAGAAUUUGGCUUGGUAGUGCUAAUGGGAUUGCAUGUCAUUUGUGGAAUUUGCUUAAUCACCGCAUAUUGACUUUCUGUCGAAAUCAGAUUAUUUUAGCCAUAUUGAUUGCACAGUAAUAAAAUUGCUGUGAAAAUCUUUUCAUUAAAUUUUAUAAAUAUCCCUGCUAAUUCAAUGUAUAUGCCCCGUUGUUUUCAUUUGGCUCCCUAAUGAUUAAACCAGUUCUUUCAACUUGAUUGUACAGUAAUGUCUGAAAGUAUUGAUAAGUGACCUUUCCAUUUUAUUUGAUAUUAAGCACUGUGCCACUUGGUUUUAAAACUGGAGAACAUUCACUGUUCAUUUCUACGUAACCCUAGUCACAUUUGUGUGUACGUGCCUACAGGCAGAACUGUGUGGUUUGUGGCAGAAGCAUGUCCCAUUCACUAGCUCAACCUCUAAAGGUGAUGUGUUGCUACGCCAUUGCAUUCCUCAUUUGCAUUUGUAACCCCCCAGAAUUGGAGAGCCAAAAUGCCCCAGCAUUUUCAUAAGUCACUGCAAGGAAGAACUUUAAAGAAAUAUUCUGCUAAGGUUUUUGUAGCACAUGUAAACUGCACUGAUGGCUAGAAACCUCCUUUCGUCUGCUGAUAUUUCAGCACCCAAUUCUGUAAUUAUUGCUGUUCUAUUAAACUUGCCCCCUAGUAUACUACUCUGCUGACCUCUACUUUCUAGCAUCACGGUCAACAUGAAGAAUGUCAGCUUCCAGGCAGUAACAUCUGCACAUACAAGCAGCACCAGCACAGUUGCUCUGUGGAUGAGGACACUCAAGGUCAGUGCUUACAAACAAUCCAGAGAUGGCUUUUAUCUGAUGAGGAUGCUUACCUGCAGGAACAACCUACACUUUCAAAAGAGCUACAUCAAUAGCAUGAAACAGCUUACCACAAAAUUACCUCCUUGCUGAAUAUGCAUUCUCAGCAGGAACAUGCGGUCAGCUCCAUCCCACCUCAGGAAAUGAUUGAGAGCUUCCUGAGAACUUCCUGUGCUGA